GGCGGCAAGGAGAAUGUCCCGUAUGGUGAUCAGCUGAGUGAGCAGGCCUCAAAUCGGCAAGAUGAAAACAUGAAGCAGUUGGAGAACAAUGAGAAUGCUCAUGAAAAGGUUGUUGAAAGGCAGAACAAGGUGAAUGCCCAGAGCAAGGGUUAAGCUCAAGAGAACCAUUCAUAGGCCAUUUAGAGUGAGGAUCAGUGAAAGACAAGUGUUGAAAGAAGCAAAGCCAGAAAGAAAACAAGACUGGCCGAGAAGAACACCAUGCAGUACUUAAGGAUGAAAAUAGACUAGUGAUGCAAACUGGAAGAUGUCCUGAUGGAAAGGGACGAGAUACAUUGACUUGUGGAGAGGAACUGCCUCCUAGCUGCUCCGACCAGGCGUAUGAGCACCUCUGACCUGACAAAGCUGAUGAUGCAAGCAUGUUGCUGCUGCUCCUUGUCUUCACCGACAGCCCUUCUGCCAAAGAGAGGAGAGGUUCAAAGCUCAUCGGAGGAGGAGCUGACGAGAGCGAAGUGUGGGUACUGGGGGCGGCCUCAGAGGGGAAGCAUGAGGAGGUGGAACAAUUGCAGCCUAACGAUCAUGACGACGGCGACAAGGAGAAUGUGUCGUAUGCUUGUCAGCUGACUGAGUAGGCCCCAAAUCGGCAAGAUGAAAACAUGAAGCAGUUGGAGAACAAUGAGAAUGCUCCUCAAAAGGACAAGGUGAAUACAGAGCAAGGGGAAAGCUCAAGAAAAUAAUUCAAAGGCCAUUUAGGCUUGAGGACCAAUAAAAGAAAAAUGUUGGAAGAAGCAAAGCCAGAAAGAAGACAAUGCUAUGGCCGAGAAGAACACCAUGCCAGUACUAAAGGAUGAAAAUAGACGAGUGAUGUACUAUGAUGCAGCAAACUGGAUGAUGUCCUGAUGGAAGUGGACGAGAUAUACUGACUUGCGGAGAGAAACAGGUGAGCAUUUCCCUAUCCAAAUCAAUUAGUGAAGUGAAGUUCAGUAGUUGUUAGCUUUUCCGGUUUGAGGUUAAUCUGUGUUGGUCUGUUACCAAAUCAAAGCCUGCAUAUUUUUUUAAUGUGGUGUGUUGCUAAAAAUGUUCAGAGUGUUGUGCUGCAACACGAACCAACCUUGCAGGACAGCCAGGCUAUAUAAAAAUUCGAUUUGUGCUAGGUUUAGAAGAUGUACUAUAUUUGCUAUAGGAUUGGAGUAGCUUAGUCCAUACUUGAAGCCUAGACAGAUUCGAAAUUUCAGAAUUGCUUGUAGUGAUCUAACAGGUAGAUAUGCGUGUAGUUUCUCAUCUAUUCAAGUUCUUGUCAUGUGUAGAACCAACUUGUAUUUUGAAGGUUGGCAAUCUUUUCACUUGGUUCAAAUCUGGUAUGAAUUAGUAAGUGCUAGAUCUAUACUUUGUUAUCCAUAAUCACGAGUUAAUGGAUCAUGUCUACACUGUGUGCAAGAGGAAGAAUAUAGUCUAGCAAGGGGGGAAGUAGCUGUUGCCUUUUUACAACUCACAAGAGCUUGGCCAUGGAUUAUGGUUCCACACAGAAUAUGCAUGUUUAUUAGGCAAGAUCAGAUUGUCUAGAAUGAAUCUAUUCAUGGUUAUUUUGAUGCAUAAUGCAAUCUCUUGCUUUUAUAGCUCGCUGACCAUUUCAGUUUUUGUGGUUGG